AAGGAGUACUUUUCAAUGGUGCUGCAAGCACUGGUGUAUCACAAGGGACGUUUCACCAACAUCAACAUGGGAUGGCCGGAAAAGGUACAUGACGCUUGCAUCUUCGGGAACUCUAGUCUGUAUGAACUUCUGCAGUAAGGGACUUACUUCCCAGACCAGAAAAUAGCCGUUAGGGAUGUUGAAAUGCCUAUAGUUAUCCUUGGGGACCCAGCCUACCUCUUAAUGCCAUGGCUCAUGAAGCCAUACACAGGCAC